rnacentral:rRNA from 1 species
UACGUAGGGUGCGAGCGUUACUCGGAAUUACUGGGCGUAAAGCGUGCGCAGGCGGUUUUGUAAGCCCGAUGUGAAAUCCCCGGGCUUAACCUGGGAAUGGCAUUUGGGACUGCAAGGCUGGAGUGUGGCAGAGGAGACGGGAAUUCCCGGUGUAGCAGUGAAAUGCGCAGAUAUCGGGAGGAAUACCGAUGGCGAAGGCAGGUCGCUGGGCUGACACUGACGCUCAUGCACGAAAGCGUGGGGAGCAAACAGG